rnacentral:rRNA from 1 species
AGGUAAGCUACUAAGAGCGAAUGGUGGAUGCCUUGACUGGUAAAGGCGAUGAAGGACGUACUAGACUGCGAUAAGCUACGGGGAGCUGUCAAGAAGCUUUGAUCCGUAGAUUUCCGAAUGGGGCAACCCAAUGUAUAGAGAUAUACAUUACCUAUAUAGGAGCGAACGAGGGGAAUUGAAACAUCUUAGUACCCUCAGGAAAAGAAAUCAAUAGAGAUUGCGUCAGUAGCGGCGAGCGAAAGCGCAAGAGGGCAAACCCAGUGCUUGCACUGGGGGUUGUAGGACUGCAAUGUGCAAGAGGUAAGUUUAGCAGAACAUUCUGGAAAGUAUAACCAUAGAGGGUGAUAGUCCCGUAUGCGAAAAACAAACCUUAGCUAGCAGUAUCCUGAGUAGGGCGGGACACGAGGAAUCCUGUCUGAAUCCGGGUCGACCACGAUCCAACCCUAAAUACUAAUACCAGAUCGAUAGUGCACAAGUACCGUGAGGGAAAGGUGAAAAGAACUGAGGUGAUCAGAGUGAAAUAGAACCUGAAACCAUUUGCUUACAAUCAUUCAGAGCCCUAUGUAGCAAUACAGGGUGAUGGACUGCCUUUUGCAUAAUGAGCCUGCGAGUUGUGGUGUCUGGCAAGGUUAAGCAAACGCGAAGCCGUAGCGAAAGCGAGUCUGAAUAGGGCGCUUAGUCAGAUGCUGCAGACCCGAAACGAAGUGAUCUAUCCAUGAGCAAGUUGAAGCUAGUGUAAGAACUAGUGGAGGACUGAACCCAUAGGCGUUGAAAAGCCCCGGGAUGACUUGUGGAUAGGGGUGAAAGGCCAAUCAAACUUCGUGAUAGCUGGUUCUCUCCGAAAUAUAUUUAGGUAUAGCGUUGUGUCGUAAUAUAAGGGGGUAGAGCACUGAAUGGGCUAGGGCAUACACCAAUGUACCAAACCCUAUCAAACUCCGAAUACCUUAUAUGUAAUCACAGCAGUCAGGCGGCGAGUGAUAAAAUCCGUCGUCAAGAGGGAAACAACCCAGACUACCAGCUAAGGUCCCUAAAUCUUACUUAAGUGGAAAACGAUGUGAAGUUACUUAAACAACCAGGAGGUUGGCUUAGAAGCAGCCAUCCUUUAAAGAAAGCGUAAUAG